AUUGAUAAUUCUUGGGUGUUUCUCACAGAGGGGGAUUUGGCAGGGUCAUAGGACAAUAGUGGAGGGAAGGUCAGCAGAUAAACAAGUGAACAAAGGUCUCUGGUUUUCCUAGGCAGAGGACCCUGCGGCCUUCCGCAGUGUUUGUGUCCCUGGGUACUUGAGAUUAGGGAGUGGUGAUGACUCUUAACGAGCAUGCUGCCUUCAAGCAUCUGUUUAACAAAGCACAUCUUGCACCGCCCUUAAUCCGUUUAACCCUGAGUGGACACAGCACAUGUUUCAGAGAGCACAGGGUUGGGGGUAAGGUCACAGAUCAACAGGAUCCCAAGGCAGAAGUUUUCUUAGUACAGAACAAAAUGAAAAGUCUCCCAUGUCUACUUCUUUCUACACAGACACGGCAACCAUCCGAUUUCUCAAUCUUUUCCCCACCUUUCCCGCCUUUCUAUUCCACAAAGCCGCCAUUGUCAUCCUGGCCCGUUCUCAAUGAGCUGUUGGGCACACCUCCCAGACGGGGUGGUGGCCGGGCAGAGGGGCUCCUCACUUCCCAGUAGGGGCGGCCGGGCAGAGGCGCCCGUCACCUCCCGGACGGGGCGGCUGGCCGGGCGGGGGGCUGACCCCCCCACCUCCCUCCCGGACGGGGCGGCUGGCCGGGCGGGGGGCUGACCCCCCCACCUCCCUCCCGGACGGGGCGGCUGGCCGGGCGGGGCCUGACCCCCCCACCUCCCUCCCGGAUGGGG
rnacentral:lncRNA from 1 species